rnacentral:rRNA from 1 species
UACGUAGGGUGCAAGCGUUGUCCGGAUUUAUUGGGCGUAAAGAGCGUGUAGGCGGCUAGGUAGGUCCGUUGUGAAAACUCGAGGCUCAACCUCGAGCUGUCGAUGGAAACCAUCUGGCUAGAGUCCGGAAGAGGAGAGUGGAAUUCCUGGUGUAGCGGUGAAAUGCGCAGAUAUCGGGAAGAACACCUGUGGCGAAGGCGGCUCUCUGGGACGGUACUGACGCUGAGACGCGAAAGCGUGGGGAGCAAACAGG